rnacentral:lncRNA from 1 species
GUUGGUAUGCCAGACUGUAAUAGUCAUGAGUCGGAGUAAGCUUGGUGCUACCUCUUUGUCUCUUUGUCUCUUUGUCUCUUUGUUUCUUUGUUUUCUUUGUUAUUGAAGAGUAAUGGAUAGUUUUUGAAUACUGAGAAGUGAGUUUGUGGAAUAAAUUAGAAAUUGAUUUAUGAGUUAUUGAUUAUGUAAUUAGAAUACUGAAUGAUUAAAUUAUAUGAAUUAUUGAAAGAUUAUGAUUGUUGUUUAUUGAGAGCUGUGUGUGUUUCGACAAAGGAAGUUGGUAAUUAUAGAAAUUAUGUGAAUUCAGAUUGAUUGGAGUGAAGUUUGUUAUUUUUGAUAUAAGAUGGAAAUUAUGUAUUUUGAGCGGUCUUUUGAGAGUGCAAAGUUACACACUGUUGUUAUCAGUUGAUGAAGGAGUAUUGUUACUGGAAGAAAGCAUUGUAGUAUUUUUUAGUAUUUUAGUGCUUUGGAAUACAGUUAAUUGUGUGACCCUAAUAAAUAAAACUCAUGCACUUAGUCUUUCCGUGUGUUCAAAUUCUCCUAUAUAGGUUUAUUCUGAAAGAAAUUAUAGAAUAAGUAAAAUGGCAAUCACAUUUUGGUGCCACUGCUAAGAAUAGAUAAUAGCAUUAAGUGUUAGGAAUUAACUGCUAGUUUAAUUAGAUGGGAGAUAAGAAGUAAAUUCAAUAGAAUAUAAUGAAAGAGUAUGAUUAUUAAGAAUGAGAACUUAACAGUAAAGAGAAUACGACACUUGAAAGAUAGAAUAGAGAGAUUGCAAGCAAGAAAUUUGUUGCGUAACUAGUAAGAACAGAAGUUAAAAAAGAAUCAUCGAUAAAGUUGGAUUAAA